UUCUUAGAAAAGUGGAAAUUCAAGCCACCAUGAGAUGCCACUAUACACUUCUAGAAUGGCUAAAAUUAAAAGGACUGAAUAUCUCAAGUGUUGGUGGGGAUGUGGAGCAACUGGAGCCCUUAUACCUUCUGUAGGAAUGUAAAAUUUUAAAUUGUUCUGGAAAACAGUUUGUCAGUUUCUUAAAAAGUUUAACAAAUACCCACUGUGCAGUCUAAUCAUUUUGCUCCCAAAUAUAUCCUCAGUAAAGUUGAAAGUUUAUGUACAUACAAUAACUUGUUUGAAAAUGUUUAUAGCUACUUUCUUGGUAAUAGCCAAUAAUGGAAACAAGCCAAAUGUCUAUAAAUAGAUGGACAACAAAAUUGAACCUAUCCAUACCAAAAGAAAUACUAUUGAGAAUAAUACGAAAUAAGCUAUUGAUACAUAAAACAAUGUUACAAAAAUAAAUAUGCUGAGUGAAAGAAGGCAAAUAAAAAAGUCUAAAUACUAUAUGAUUCCAUUUAUAUAAAAUUCCAGAAAAAGCAAACUAUUCUCUGGUGACAGAAACUGGCCAGUGGUUUUGCCUAGUGAUGGAGAUGAGGUUUUAUGUUCAGGAGGAAGACCAAAGGGCAUGAGGAGAUGCUUCAGUCAUAGGUAUGUUCCUAACUUGAGUGUGGUGUCGUUUGUCAAGUGUAAACAUGUAUCAUAGAUAGAUAAAAAUGCAUUUGGCAGUAAAUAGUGUUACCAUUAUACAUCAUUAAAGCUGUUCAAAAAUAAAUAAAAAUUCCAGAUAGAUGAGAAACCCUAAAAAUGAUGCCAACAACAUUAUUGCAUUGGAAAUCAUUAUUGUAAUGCAAAUAAUAGUAUGUAUGGUUCAUAGUUUAAGGAUAUUUUUAACUGUUCUUUACAGUUGUCUUUUGCAUACUCAAUGCAAAAGCUAUCACAAGAGGUUUUCUCUAUGAAAUAAGAAUAAAACAAAAAAGAUGGUGAGAAGGGCAAAAUAAGCUGUAACAAUUUCAUCCUCAUGUUUCUCUGCUUAUUUUUCUUUGUCAGUGCAAUGUUUAAAGGCUGAAUCUGAAGCAACUCAAAGAAAAAUGUUGGAGGAAGUAAAAAAAAGAAUGAACAGAUGUGGGAAGAGAAAGAAAAGAAUUAUCAGGAACGUGUGAAAAGGCUUGAGAAUGUAAUGGCAAACGAAGAGAGGAAUGAAAAACAAAAACUUCAGAAAUGUGAGCGGCUUCUGAAGAAGAAAAAGGAACUUAAGUCAAACAAUUGCCUCUCAACUGAAAGUCGAAACGUGAUGUAUGCAAUUUGUUUUGUUUUGUUAAUCCUCACCCUACAAUAUUUUUUCUAUUGAUUUUUAGAGAAAGCAGAAGGAAGGGGGCAGGUGGAAAGAAAAACAUCAAUGUGUCUGUGAGCCAGUGUUCUAUCCACUGAGCCAAACUUGCUAGAGCUGAUGCUUGCAAUUUUGUUGAACCAUAAACUUUUCAAAGAAGAAAUAAACUGUUAAGACAA